CUGGCGGCAGGCCUAACACAUGCAAGUCGAGCGCAGUCCUUCGGGACCGAGCGGCGGACGGGUUAGUAACGCGUGGGAAUAUGCCCUUCACUACGGAAUAGCCUCGGGAAACUGAGAGUAAUACCGUAUACGCCCUUCGGGGGAAAGAUUUAUCGGUGAAGGAUUAGCCCGCGUAAGAUUAGAUAGUUGGUGGGGUAAUGGCCUACCAAGUCUACGAUCUUUAGCUGGUUUUAGAGGAUGAUCAGCAACACUGGGACUGAGACACGGCCCAGACUCCUACGGGAGGCAGCAGUGGGGAAUCUUGGACAAUGGGCGCAAGCCUGAUCCAGCCAUGCCGCGUGUGUGAUGAAGGCCUUAGGGUCGUAAAGCACUUUCGCCAGAGAUGAUAAUGACAGUAUCUGGUAAAGAAACCCCGG
rnacentral:rRNA from 1 species